UGAAAUGUCCAAUAAAAUUCC
rnacentral:piRNA from 1 species